rnacentral:rRNA from 1 species
CCUACGGGUGGCAGCAGUGAGGAAUAUUGGUCAAUGGACGAAAGUCUGAACCAGCCAAGUAGCGUGAAGGAUGACUGCCCUAUGGAUUGUAAACUUCUUUUAUAUGGGAAUAAAACGUGCCACGUGUGGGAUUUUGUAUGUACCAUAUGAAGAAGGAUCGGCUAACUCCGUGCCAGCAGCCGCGGUAAUACGGAGGAUCCGAGCGUUAUCCGGAUUUAUUGGGUUUAAAGGGAGCGAGGGUGGUUGGUUAAGUCAAUGGUAAAGUUUUGGGGUCCAACCUAAAAUUGCAGUUGAAAAUGGCAGUCUUGAGUAAAGUAGAGGUGAGCGGAAUUCGUGGUGUAGCGGUGAAAUGCUUAGAUAUCACGAAGAACUCCGAUUGCGAAGGCAGUUCACUGGA